CUCGGUGGCCAUGCCGGAGGGGUCACACCCGUUCCCAUUCCGAACACGGAAGUUAAGCCCUCCAGGGCCGAUGUUACUGCCCCCGCGAGGGGGUGGGAAAGUAGGACGCCGCCGGGA
rnacentral:rRNA from 1 species